ACGGCCGUACCAUGCUGAAUAUACCGGUUCUCGUUAGAUCACCGAAGUUAAGCAUCAUUGGGCGCGGUCAGUGGGUGACCACCUGGGAACACCGCGUGCCGUU